rnacentral:rRNA from 1 species
UUAGGAAUCUUGGACAAUGGGCGCAAGCCUGAUCCAGCCAUGCCGCGUGAGUGAUGAAGGCCUUAGGGUUGUAAAGCUCUUUCAGCGGGGAAGAUAAUGACGGUACCCGCAGAAGAAGCCCCGGCUAACUUCGUGCCAGCAGCCGCGGUAAUACGAAGGGGGCUAGCGUUGCUCGGAAUCACUGGGCGUAAAGCGCACGUAGGCGGGUCUUUAAGUCAGGGGUGAAAUCCUGGAGCUCAACUCCAGAACUGCCUUUGAUACUGAGGAUCUCGAGUCCGGGAGAGGUGAGUGGAACUCCGAGUGUAGAGGUGAAAUUCGUAGAUAUUCGGAAGAACACCAGUGGCGAAGGCGGCUCACUGGCCCGGUACUGACGCUGAUGUGCGAAAGCGUGGGGAGCAAACAGGAUUAGAUACCCUGGUAGUCCACGCCGUAAACGAUGGAUGCUAGCCGUUGGCGGGUUUACUCGUCAGUGGCGCAGCUAACGCAUUAAGCAUCCCGCCUGGGGAGUACGGUCGCAAGAUUA